rnacentral:lncRNA from 1 species
GUGUAGAGCGUCGUACAAGCGAUUGAGAGGGAACCUCUUACGAAUGGAGAGAGGUGAGGGCGAGAGAGAACUCCGAGACGGUUUGGAAUAGGAUUUCCUACAGAGCACAACAAUGUGUGGAACGAAAUCACUCCCUGCUAAGCUCCUGUCCGAUGGAAAGAGGUGAGAGCGAGAGAGAGGCGAGAGCGUGAGAUUAAGAGAGAGGCGAGAUCGCGAAAGCGAGAGCAAGACGCAAGUGCAAGAGACAGAGAAAGAGAGAAAGAAAAUGUUUCGCAUUAAAAGGAAAGAGGGGGUGAAGUU